UACGUAGGGUGCAAGCGUUAAUCGGAAUUACUGGGCGUAAAGCGUGCGCAGGCGGUUGUGCAAGACAGAUGUGAAAUCCCCGGGCUUAACCUGGGAACUGCAUUUGUGACUGCACGGCUAGAGUGUGUCAGAGGGGGGUAGAAUUCCACGUGUAGCAGUGAAAUGCGUAGAUAUGUGGAGGAACACCGAUGGCGAAGGCAGCCCCCUGGGUCAAGACUGACGCUCAUGCACGAAAGCGUGGGGAGCAAACAGG
rnacentral:rRNA from 1 species